CUGCUGGAUGCUGAGAGGAACGCAUCAGUGGAAGAAAACAAGCGGCUGGACGUGGAGAGGACGUCAAGGGAGCAUGCCGGCGGAAGAGCACACCACAGACGCCGGCAGGCCACCGAGCGGCAGGACCAGGCGGAGUUUGGCCGGGGCAGUCGGAGGAGAGCUAGGCCACUAAGCAGCUCAACUCCAGGAGAUAAACCAUCUCCCUUGUGGCUCCUCCGUCGGCUGAGAGCUGCUUCCACUCAAUAACACUUUGCACUCGUUCUCCAAGCCCCCGUGUGAUCCGAUUCUUCUGGUACACCCAGGCAAGAACCCAGGAUACAGAAAGGCCUCGGUCCUUUCCACAAGUACCUCUACUUGAGGUACUCAUUGACCUGGUUAACACAAGCUGCCUACAGACGCCAAAACUAAGGGCACCCUGGAACACAGGCUUCAGCUGUAAACAUUCACCCCUGGGCACUGCCGUGGGGUGGGAGCCUGCCUGAGUGUAUGCUCCCCUAGAGGUUUGAGCUGCGGGGCACUGAAGAAGUGAGCCACACUCCCAUCGCACACUGCGAGGGGGACAAAGGAACUUUUCCUCUUUUAACUGGGGCCUCAUCUGGAAUCUCGGAAGGUGAAUGUCUGCCUUCGAAAACCCUACCACCUGUCUUUCUUGUGGGAACCAUCAAACUCCAAGUGGACAGGCAACUGGAGCCUCAGAUAAUGACUCCCCUUUGCUAGGAACCCUUAGACAGACCUCUGGGAGGAAUUUGACUGCCGUUUUCUCAAAAACAACGCCCCCUGUCAGCGGGAAGCAGCUAAGACAGGUCAUCGUCCAUAUUCUAAUAGCAGUUAGAUGUACGUUUUCAGAGAGGGGAAAUGAUACAGGAGUGCGGGGAAGGGAAGAGUGUCAUCUCUUUAAAUGAUACAGAAGGGAG
rnacentral:lncRNA from 10 species